rnacentral:rRNA from 1 species
GACGAACGCUGGCGGCGUGCUUAACACAUGCAAGUCGAACGGAAAGGCCCUGCUUUUGUGGGGUGCUCGAGUGGCGAACGGGUGAGUAACACGUGAGUAACCUGCCCUUGACUUUGGGAUAACUUCAGGAAACUGGGGCUAAUACCGGAUAGGAGCUCCUGCUGCAUGGUGGGGGUUGGAAAGUUUCGGCGGUUGGGGAUGGACUCGCGGCUUAUCAGCUUGUUGGUGGGGUAGUGGCUUACCAAGGCUUUGACGGGUAGCCGGCCUGAGAGGGUGACCGGCCACAUUGGGACUGAGGUACGGCCCAGACUCCUACGGGAGGCAGCAGUGGGGAAUAGUGCACAAUGGGCGGAAGCCUGAUGCAGCAACGCCGCGUGCGGGAUGACGGCCUUCGGGUUGUAAACCGCUUUCGCCUGUGACGAAGCGUGAGUGACGGUAAUGGGUAAAGAAGCACCGGCUAACUACGUG